GGAUGCGAUCAUCAUACCAGCACUAACGCACCGGAUCCCAUCAGAACUCCGAAAGUUAAGCGUGCUUGGGCGAGAGUAGUACUAGGAUGGGUGACCCCUUGGGAAGUCAUCGUGUUGCAUCCC